AUCAGAGAACAGAGGACUACUAAAUAUCGCGCGAGAAUCUUUUGACGUUACAGACAGGAAUGACAACCUAAUUGCAGGUAUCCCCCACACAUGAGGAUAGUAAUGAACCAAGCAUUCAUUAUAAAAACAUCCAGCUAAUGAAGAUGUGGACUUACGUUUUUAGCAGAAGAAAGGGUGCAAUGUUUUUCUUGGUUUGCCUUUACCUAUUCCAUACAAUGACCUUGGUCGAGUCCUUUCGAAAUGAGGCUACAAGUUACUUGGAUGCACUACUCACCUCACAGAACACUAGAAGUAACGUGAACUCAAAUAUUUUACCAGUCAAAAGAGGCUGGGAAGCAUGGGAUAUGCCUUGGAUGAAAGCCAGUGUGCGUCCAACAAAACGAGCGUGGGAGGGUAUAGGUUUAAUUAGUCGCAGAGUUAUGUAUCCAGGUACUUUGGAACAAUUAAAGCGUGGAUGGGAAGGGUUAAAUUGGCGAUAUAGAAUGCACCAAGGUAAACGAAGUCAAAAUAUUUUGGAACCUGUGUCAGAAGAAGCCAACAGCUGUGUAUGCUGUAAAAAUGACAAUGAUCCACUCUGUUGUUUAUCUUGCACUAGCGAAACUGAAUCAGAACAAACCGAAAACUCGGGACAACAAACCGAAAACUCGGCACAAGGAUACACGUCUUUUUUAAACGUAUUUUGUCGUUGUUGUUCAUCUUCAAACGACGCUGAAUGCUGUCGUUAUUGUGACAUGCUUACAAAUUGAGGAUAUAUACGGUGUUGUCACAUAUUUAUUGUCAUCAAACCAUUGUUAUACAUUUUAUUAUAUAAUUCACUGAUUUUGCUUUACUAUUAGCAUUACUAUCCAUAUUUUGCAAUUCAUUAAGAAUAUGUCAACUGACUAGGAAGGAGCAUUAGUUUUUGAUUUAUCAUAAACGUCAUCAUUGAUAAGAAAGAACGGUGUUCCCUUAAACGGUGACUUCUUCUGAAACACAAGAAGACUGAACAUUAAACCUUUAGUAUAUAAUUUGUAAUUAUAUGAGAUCAAAAUAACCGGGAAGAAACAAAAAUUACCAAUUAAAGGACAUGAUUAAACAAAAUUAAUAUUGGUAUUUAAAAUACGGCAGGUACGUACCAGUACCAGAAAAUAGUCUAUGAAAGACACGAUUGACCUGAGAUCAGUCUUGGAUAAAAAGCAAAAUGAUCACGUGCUUUGUAUCACAUGUUAAAUAUCUUUUAAGCGAUAUAAGUAAAUGUUUGCAAACAAUAACUAUAAUGUGCUUUUUGUUCAUUUUACCUUAGUUACCUUAUUACCUUACAGAUUUUAAAACUAA